ACGGAAGGCAGCAGUGGGGAAUAUUGGGCAAUGGGCGAAAGCCUGACCCAGCGACGCCGCGUGAGGGAAGAAGAUCUUCGGAUUGUAAACCUUAGUCAACAGGGAAGAAGCAAGUGACGGUACCUGUGGAGGAAGCCACGGCUAACUACGUGCCAGCAGCCGCGGUAAUACGUAGGUGGCGAGCGUUAUCCGGAUUUACUGGGUGUAAAGGGUGUGUAGGCGGAUAUUCAAGUCAGAUGUGAAAACUAUGGGCUCAACCCAUAGCCUGCAUUUGAAACUGUAUAUCGUGAGCGUGGGAGAGGUAAACGGAAUUCCCAGUGUAGCAGUGAAAUGCGUAGAUAUCGGGAGGAAUACCAGUGGCGAAGGCGGUUUACUGGACCAUGACUGACGCUGAGACACGAAAGCGUGGGGAGCAAACAGGAUUAGAUACCCUGGUA
rnacentral:rRNA from 1 species